rnacentral:rRNA from 1 species
AUUGAACGCUGGCGGCAUGCCUUACACAUGCAAGUCGAACGGUAGAGGGGGCAACCCCUCGAGAGUGGCGAACGGGUGAGUAAUGCAUCGGAACGUGCCCAGUAGUGGGGGAUAGCCCGGCGAAAGCCGGAUUAAUACCGCAUACGACCUACGGGUGAAAGGGGGGGAUCGCAAGACCUCUCGCUAUUGGAGCGGCCGAUGUCAGAUUAGGUAGUUGGUGGGGUAAAGGCCUACCAAGCCGACGAUCUGUAGCUGGUCUGAGAGGACGACCAGCCACACUGGGACUGAGACACGGCCCAGACUCCUACGGGAGGCAGCAGUGGGGAAUUUUGGACAAUGGGCGCAAGCCUGAUCCAGCCAUGCCGCGUGCGGGAAGAAGGCCUCCGGGUUGUAAACCGCUUUUGUCAGGGAAGAAAUCCUUUGAGUUAAUACCUCGGGGGGAUGACGGUACCUGAAGAAUAAGCACCGGCUAACUACGUGCCAGCAGCCGCAGUAAAAC